rnacentral:lncRNA from 1 species
UGGAAUAAAAAACAGAAAAAUAAAAAUUUUUAAAAUAACGAAAAAAUUAAAACAAGUAAAAAUGAAAGCAUAUGAAAAAAAAGUAAAAAGAAGGAAAAUUUUGAAGGGAAAAAGUUAUUAAAAAAUUACAAAGUAGGACAAAAAUAGCAAGAAAAAUAAUAAAAUAAAAAAGAUUCAAAAAAUAAAAAAAAAAAUUUUGAACUUUAUAAAAAUUUUUUAAAAUAUA